AACGAACGCUGGCGGCAUGCCUAACACAUGCAAGUCGAACGAGACCUUCGGGUCUAGCGGCGCACGGGUGCGUAACGCGUGGGAACCUGCCCUUAGGUUCGGAAUAACUCCCCGAAAGGGGUGCUAAUACCGGAUAAUGUCUUCGGACCAAAGAUUUAUCGCCUUUGGAUGGGCCCGCGUUGGAUUAGCUAGUUGGUAGGGUAAAAGCCUACCAAGGCGACGAUCCAUAGCUGGUCUGAGAGGAUGAUCAGCCACACUGGGACUGAGACACGGCCCAGACUCCUACGGGAGGCAGCAGUGGGAAAUAUUGGACAAUGGGCGAAAGCCUGAUCCAGCAAUGCCGCGUGAGUGAUGAAGGCCUUAGGGUUGUAAAGCUCUUUUACCCGGGAUGAUAAUGACAGUACCGGGAGAAUAAGCUCCGGCUAACUCCGUG
rnacentral:rRNA from 1 species